ensembl:ncRNA Y73F8A.1161 ncRNA
AAGCUUAAGCCUAUGCCUAUGCCUAAGCCUAAGCCUACGGCUAAGCCUAAGCCUAAGCCUAAGCCUAAAA